rnacentral:lncRNA from 1 species
UCAGAUGGGUUGACUCAGCCUGACUCGGUAAAGGGGGGCAGAGGGCGACCGAGAUGCCUGCCCGCCUAAGAGGACACGGAGAACAGGACAGUUGCCCCCUCGCUUACUUGUAACUCGAUCGUCCUCUUUUCCAUCAUCGUCCUUUCCCUUUCUUCCCUUCCUCCUUGCUGAGCCGCUUGCCCAGCCAUCUGUGUCGCGACUCUGUCCGGGUCGGAAGUUCUCACUAACCUUGCC